rnacentral:rRNA from 1 species
AUUGAACGCUGGCGGCAUGCCUUACACAUGCAAGUCGAACGGUAACAGGUCUUCGGAUGCUGACGAGUGGUGAACGGGUGAGUAAUACAUCGGAACGUGCCCGAUCGUGGGGGAUAACGAGGCGAAAGCUUUGCUAAUACCGCAUACGAUCUACGGAUGAAAGCGGGGGAUCUUCGGACCUCGCGCGGACGGAGCGGCCGAUGGCAGAUUAGGUAGUUGGUGGGAUAAAAGCUUACCAAGCCGACGAUCUGUAGCUGGUCUGAGAGGAUGAUCAGCCACACUGGGACUGAGACACGGCCCAGACUCCUACGGGAGGCAGCAGUGGGGAAUUUUGGACAAUGGGCGAAAGCCUGAUCCAGCCAUGCCGCGUGCAGGAUGAAGGCCUUCGGGUUGUAAACUGCUUUUGUACGGAACGAAAAGCCUCUUUCUAAUAAAGAGGGGUCAUGACGGUACCGUAAGAAUAAGCACCGGCUAACUACGUG